GUAAGGCUGUACACUGUUACCUCUACCUUUGGGUGUUAAUUAAUGUGUCUGAAUAAUGUCAAAUCCCUAUAACAUCGUCCUUGCCAAUCUGCUAUGUUGUAAAAGAUAUUUUUGCCCCCAAGAAGUAAUUUUGUCGUUGCUAGUAUUCAAGUAGAUUGAUUACUCAAGUAAACAGUUUUGUUGUUGCUAAUAUACUGAAUAAAUGUGAUGGCAUGCAGAUUUAAGGCAUGCAUCUCUCUCAUGCUCAUGCUUAGAUAUGGCACAAAAUGUGCACCUGCAUAUAGGUAAAAUUUCUGUAACCUUUCUUCUUUAAACUUAGCGUACUGCCAAUGACAAAAUUACUGUAUUGUUAUCUGAUUGGCCUUGACACCGACACUGUAACCCACAUCCGGCUCCCUAUGUAGUGGCGCAACCCGACCAUUAUCGUUACAGUUUGAACAUCUAUUAAUACGACUUUAUGUUUAUAUUAGGCUGAAUCUAAAAUUAUGCUUGGAAAGUGCCGGAUACACUGAAGGUGUGAGAUUAACACAGAAUCAUCUGUAUUAAUAGACAGUGUGAUAAGAUUUGAAGAUACCCAGACAAAUGCUAUGCCUUAUAUUCCUGCCGAUGGUGUUCCGUUCGUAAUAAUUGGGGAAAAGAUUUACGACUGUCAGCAUGGACGUGACCACCAUCAAAAGGACAAAACCAGAAAUAAAAUGGAUUCAAAGGGAGAUCACACAUUUACAAAGAAUAAAGAACAAUACAGCCAACUAAAAAGAUUAACUGUCCGGCAAAAAUCAGAGUUAGGUACAUUUUCCGACCUCAAGGCGGCUUUAUUAAUCUAACCUAUGGACAGCCAUUUAAAGGACUACAUAUUCCAAAUGGUCAAUAAUCAUAAUGUCCUGAGCACUACACUAAUGAAAACAUUGUUGGAAGUUCAUUUAAAACAGGACUUGUUUCCGAAUCAGCUACCACCAUGUUACAGCAAACGUUUUUAUCCGUCUCU